GGUGAGGUCAAUUCCAUAUCUUCCUGCCAAAGUCAGGGCUGGCUCAAGGGUUCGGCCCUCGUCUCACAAGGGUGGAUCUUCUGCAACAUGGGAAAGAAGAAGCCAGAAUGAUACAGGAAGUUGCUGGCCACAAGGAGGUGGAGAUGGGGAGGUUCUGCCCCCACUGUCCUCCACAUGAGAAGGCCUGGGGGAUGUGGAUCCCUUUACCCUGAUUCUCUCCUGAAUCCUGAGCGCCACAGGCUUCUUCCACAGGGCCUCCUCUCCUGCCUGAUGGCUCUGCUGGUCUCAUUUCACGGAGGGAAUGGGGUCAUAGCGUGGGUCCUGCUUCUGCUGCUGACAGCAGUGUGCGUGCAACCUGGGAACUCAGCAGGAUCCAACAGAGUAAAUGGCUAUCGGGUGGAACAACCAGCACGCCUCUCUGGUGUCCAGGGCGGCUUCAUCGAGAUCCCCUUCUCCUUCUACUUCCCCUGGGAGUUGGCACAGGAUUCACAGAUGAGGAUUCUCUGGAGAUGGAAGAAGUUUCAUGCGGAAUUGAUCUACAACUCUUCCUCGGGUUUCAUACACGAGCAUUUUAAGGGCCGGGUCAUCCUGAACUGGACACAGCCUCAGACAUCCGGAGUCCUCAGAAUCCUGGACUUGAAGGAGAAGGACCAGACGGUGUACUUCUGCCAAGUUCGUCUGAACACAAGUAAAGGUGUGCUGAUGUUACAGUCGAAUGAUGGGACCCACCUCACCAUCACCAAUGUAGUCGGAACCACCACGAAGAGCCCCUCCUUGGUCUCCUCUGUAGUCACCACGGCUGGCUUGGAAAACACAGAGAGCCAAAGGAAUCCUUCUUUUGUGAACAUAGUAGCCACGGUCGGGGUGAUUGUGGCCACGGCUGUGCUAAUAACCCCAGUCUGUGUACUGAUGAUCUUCCUCUGGUGGAAGCAAAGAAGGGCUCAGCCCUGCAAUGGAUAAGAAGAGCAGCUGAGAGGUGGAGAGCAGCAGUCUGGGAGGGCAGCAGAAGUCUGACUGGAAUUCGAACCCUGAGACUGAAUCUGCAGGGGGCAGUACCAGGUUCCAGGGAGACAAAAGGAGGCCUGGCCAGCAGACUAAAGCUGAAACCCCAGCCAGGUGAGCGGCUGUCAUCCCAAGGAGCAGGGUCACCCAUAGGCAUCUGCUGAGACAUUGUCUGUUAUCUGCUGCUACCAGACUUCCAAGCCCCAGCAUCUCACCAAGGUGACCAUUUUCCAUCAAAGUAGGGAUUGCUGGCCACACACCCUGCAUCUCACUCUCCUCCCUGUCUUCUGCCUUAGAAUCAGAGAGCAUGGCUACAGUCCUGAUCUCAGAUACAUCUUGUCCCUGAACAGGGGGUACAAGAAGAGAACCCCCACUUCUGCCAUGUAGACUCUGAUUUCCUCUCCUUAGAAACCAGGUCAAAUUUUCUGUCUCUGUUCCUGAGAGCCUUACUGUGCUGCUUCCUGUCACUCUAUGGAAUUAAUAAUAAAUUCAAUAAA